UUUAUUUGAUUUUUUUAAUACUGUUUUGACGUUCACUGCUUCCAGUAUCUUCCAAGAAUCUACUUUUUUGUGCCAAAUGAUGGAAUGCAUACAACAGGAAAACAGCUCACAAUUCUUCAGACUGUGAACUCUCCAACUCUCCACUCUCAAGGCAGAAAGACCAGAGAAAAAAGAAUUCCAGUGAUAUCACCUGGACAACAGAUGGACUACAGACAACAUUACUUGGUCUCACCUAGACACAGAGAAGUCUCAGGCAUAUGAAAUUGGCAUUGUAUCUCCUCUGCAGAAGGAAUACUUUGAUAUUUACUUUUUCUGUCCAACAGAUUUCUCCAGCUACUCAGCAGUUUGGCACUGAGAAAGUACAAGACAAGAGAUGACCUGAAAUGUUAAGCUGUAAGAGGAAGAUUUUGCUCUUAUCAGCAGCUCCUUCAUACCUAGAAUGAGGUACCUGCUCUGUUGCAACAGCACCUGGAAUUCAAAAUCACCUUGUAGCAACCAGCCCACCUUGGCAUCUUUCUUUGCUGACAAAGAAGUAACGUGGAGGGGAGAGAAGAGAAUAGAUAAAGGAUAAUAUUUCCUGGGUGUUAAAUACUUUUCAUCGGGAUGAUCAACUUCAGUGCUUUUUAGUGACUUUUAAUCCUUUUAACUCUUUUCUGAGCAUCUGUUUCCCUACUAUGCAGUUCAAUGCUGUCUGUAAAAAGUGAUUUGAUUGAUGUGUAAUGAAAUCUUACCUAAAUACUUUAGUAAAGUAUUGAUUGAACAAUUAUACUUCAUUUAUACUGAAGUGUUAUUUCUUCCUUCGUUCAGUUCUCUGUUCCUUGAUCUGAGAUUCUAUAGAUCCUUGUUAUGACUCUAUUUAUAAGAACUGACACCUUUAGGCUGUAAAUCAAUUUUCCAUUUUCAUUGUAUUGGAGAAAUUGCUUUUCAGUAUGAUUCUGCUCCUUCAAAGGACGGGUUCAGUGCAUCACUUAUACUUGAUUGAUCCACUACGUUUACUUUUGAAGAACUUGGCAAGGUUCACAGGUGGAGUACUCUGACAUAUUCCUAUUGCUAAAAAAGCUAUUUCAAUUUAAUAUUAAUGUUGAACUUUCUCACCUAGAACUGAAUGGACAGCUAUUAGGUUGGUUUGUGUGAUAGUGGAAUCAUUUCCCUGUUCAAUACCAUGUGGUUCUUGUACAUCCUAGUUUAUACUGUUUUUUCAAUUGUUAUUACUUUUUAUUCCCACUCUCUAAAACAAUCGGGACCAGCCACCAUCCUGCAGCCAGUUGAAGGAACAUUUCUAUUGCAGAUUAAAUAAAGAAUAUGAAUAAGCACAUUUGUUAAAGGAAAAGUCACAGUCACCUGGCUAUUGAAACAAAUGAAGGAUGUAUUUUUAAAUUGUACAUUCAUCUGGCUGGUUUAGGUAGUGCGUAUCUGUCCCGAGUCUCAACUUCAUCAAAGUUCUAAUGGAGCACUAGAAUUUGUUUAUGCUGUUCUAUGUACUUAACUUGACAACUUUGUUUUCAUCCUGUUAACUUUAAUUACUUAUUUUGAAGUCAACAGAUAUGUUAAAAAAAAAUCUAUCAAAACCAAAUAAGCUAAGAAGCAAACAAACAAACAAACAAAAAAACCCACUUUAUCUGGUUUUGAACAUUUUAUUUACUGAAUAUUUUCUUGAGUAUAAAAUUUAAAAAUGCAUCUUUCAUUUGUUUCAUUUUUACAACAUAAGAAUAAAAAUGGAAAAGUUUUACAACUAUGUGUACAUUUUUUCUUCGUUAAUAGUUUGUGACAUUCUUUUUAAUUACAAAGCUUAGCUGGCCUAGUGUGUGUGUUAUUUAUCAUCUUUGAAACAGUAAUACUUUAAUUAGGACACUAUGAGAUUUCUUCAUUUAUACUGAGAAUAUUUCUUCACGAGUUGAAUUUAUGAGUUUGGCAUCCUGUACUACACUACAUUAAUGAUGGCAUGAAAGGUGUGAAUAAACAUUGAGAUGCUUGGAUCUAAGAAUUCAGCUUCAGGUAAUUAAUUUUGAAAUCCUAUAAACUCUAUGCAGAUUUUAAAACACAUUAUGCGUACAACAUCUGCAAUAAAAAGCACAGUCAGUAUUCUCAGGUAGUCUUAAGUGAAUAGUGGUGGAUAUAUCAGCUCAAGUUAGAUAAAUGAAGACUUAAAUAGCUAUAUGAUUAUGAAAUUGACAUUAUUCAAAUAUUUUAUAAUAGAAAUUGACAUUAUUCAAAUAUUUUAUAAUACUUCAAGACUUGUAAAUUUCAAAAACGAUUAAAUAUGAUUGAAUUAGCCAUAUUUUAAAUUGAAUUUAUAUUUAUUUAUAUUUAUAUUUAUUUCUAAUAAUUAUUGGACUUUCCUUUUCUGAUUGAUGUACCUGUUGAAGCCUUUAUUAUCCUUCUUUGCAC
ensembl:lncRNA